AAAUUAUCACACAAACAAACUGAUUCAUUGUCAUCACAAAUUAAAAAAAACAAGACAUUUUUCCUUGUAUUUACAUAUAAACUUGAUCCUUGAUUCAAUAUAAAAAAAAUUUUCAAUACGAAUUGAAGCAUCCCCUUCAGAUGUAUUAAUUACUAAGCAACACACAACGAGAAAGCAUGCAGUUCUGUUACAUGCUGAGCAAAUUGCUUUAUGAGGUUAUAAAGCGAUAACCUUAUUUGUAGUUUUAUCUCAGAGACAUUGGAAAAUGUAAAUAUUUAAAAAAUAAUCCUUUUUGUGAGUUAGGUGUAGGUGAAUGCAACUAUGAUUUAACGUUUUUCACCUUGUGUCUUGGAGAAAAUAAUAAAAGAUUUUAAAGUUUACCUAAUUUUCACGACACUCUACACUGUAUGUCUGUAAUCAUUUGGAUUAUUAAAUAAGACAAAGUUUUCAUGAAAUUUUUAUUGUAAUUGUAGUAAUAAAUCUAUUAGGAAACAAAUUCAUGUAUACAUUUUAAUUAUGAAUAUAUUCCAAUUAAUAUUCCUUGUGCAGAAAGUCUUGUGUCAUUGUAUAAAAAUAAAGUGCUUGUGAAUAAAAGGUGAUUUAUACAUUAACCAAUUGUUCCAAUUUGGUGCAGGCUCUAUUUAACAUGAUUUGUCUUUUAUGAUUAUUUUCCAAAUUAAGUGCCAUAUAUAAUGAAAAGUUUUUUUCUGUUCAUUAUGAUAAAUGUAAUUAUGUAGCAAAUUUAUUCCUGCUUUUUUAGAUGUAAAAAGGUGUAUGUAUUCUAGUGUUGACCAUUAUGUUAAUCAUUUUGUGUAGUUUCUGAUUCAGUGUAGUGUAAAUUGGCACUAGAAAUUCAUCAUGGAUACAUAGAUGGAUAGGUACCAUACAUGUAGAUUAAGGGCCAUUUUAGAAGCUUGUAGUCAUCCAUUCUUUAUUAUAUAUCUCUGUGAGAAAUUCCACAAUUUUGCUUUGUGUAACAUUUUUUUCUGCCUUUUUUGUUUGUACAUUGUUAUGUAUCACUGAAUGGAACAGUAUACUGUAUAAUGUAUUAGUUUUGUAUCUAAAGAAAAUAAAAUUCACUGGUGCAA